CCUGGCCCUAGAGACAUUGCAGGUGUGGCUGCUGUGUCACAUGUCUGUCACUAGGUGGCAGAGAGGAGAGAGGCUACACUCCGUUUUCUGACCUGUGAACAUCUGAAUGAUUAAUUUACUAACACU
ensembl:snoRNA small nucleolar RNA SNORA17